rnacentral:rRNA from 1 species
UUAAGCGACUAAGCGUACACGGUGGAUGCCCUGGCAGUCAGAGGCGAUGAAGGACGUGCUAAUCUGCGAUAAGCGUCGGUAAGGUGAUAUGAACCGUUAUAACCGGCGAUUUCCGAAUGGGGAAACCCAGUGUGUUUCGACACACUAUCAUUAACUGAAUCCAUAGGUUAAUGAGGCGAACCGGGGGAACUGAAACAUCUAAGUACCCCGAGGAAAAGAAAUCAACCGAGAUUCCCCCAGUAGCGGCGAGCGAACGGGGAGGAGCCCAGAGCCUGAAUCAGUGUGUGUGUUAGUGGAAGCGUCUGGAAAGGCGCGCGAUACAGGGUGACAGCCCCGUACACAAAAAUGCACAUGCUGUGAGCUCGAUGAGUAGGGCGGGACACGUGGUAUCCUGUCUGAAUAUGGGGGGACCAUCCUCCAAGGCUAAAUACUCCUGACUGACCGAUAGUGAACCAGUACCGUGAGGGAAAGGCGAAAAGAACCCCGGCGAGGGGAGUGAAAAAGAACCUGAAACCGUGUACGUACAAGCAGUGGGAGCACGCUUAGGCGUGUGACUGCGUACCUUUUGUAUAAUGGGUCAGCGACUUAUAUUCUGUAGCAAGGUUAACCGAAUAGGGGAGCCGAAGGGAAACCGAGUCUUAACUGGGCGUUAAGUUGCAGGGUAUAGACCCGAAACCCGGUGAUCUAGCCAUGGGCAGGUUGAAGGUUGGGUAACACUAACUGGAGGACCGAACCGACUAAUGUUGAAAAAUUAGCGGAUGACUUGUGGCUGGGGGUGAAAGGCCAAUCAAACCGGGAGAUAGCUGGUUCUCCCCGAAAGCUAUUUAGGUAGCGCCUCGUGAAUUCAUCUCCGGGGGUAGAGCACUGUUUCGGCAAGGGGGUCAUCCCGACUUACCAACCCGAUGCAAACUGCGAAUACCGGAGAAUGUUAUCACGGGAGACACACGGCGGGUGCUAACGUCCGUCGUGAAGAGGGAAACAACCCAGACCGCCAGCUAAGGUCCCAAAGUCAUGGUUAAGUGGGAAACGAUGUGGGAAGGCCCAGACAGCCAGGAUGUUGGCUUAGAAGCAGCCAUCAUUUAAAGAAAGCGUAAUAGCUCACUGGUCGAGUCGGCCUGCGCGGAAGAUGUAACGGGGCUAAACCAUGCACCGAAGCUGCGGCAGCGACACUGUGUGUUGUUGGGUAGGGGAGCGUUCUGUAAGCCUGUGAAGGUGUACUGUGAGGUAUGCUGGAGGUAUCAGAAGUGCGAAUGCUGACAUAAGUAACGAUAAAGCGGGUGAAAAGCCCGCUCGCCGGAAGACCAAGGGUUCCUGUCCAACGUUAAUCGGGGCAGGGUGAGUCGACCCCUAAGGCGAGGCCGAAAGGCGUAGUCGAUGGGAAACAGGUUAAUAUUCCUGUACUUGGUGUUACUGCGAAGGGGGGACGGAGAAGGCUAUGUUGGCCGGGCGACGGUUGUCCCGGUUUAAGCGUGUAGGCUGGUUUUCCAGGCAAAUCCGGAAAAUCAAGGCUGAGGCGUGAUGACGAGGCACUACGGUGCUGAAGCAACAAAUGCCCUGCUUCCAGGAAAAGCCUCUAAGCAUCAGGUAACAUCAAAUCGUACCCCAAACCGACACAGGUGGUCAGGUAGAGAAUACCAAGGCGCUUGAGAGAACUCGGGUGAAGGAACUAGGCAAAAUGGUGCCGUAACUUCGGGAGAAGGCACGCUGAUAUGUAGGUGAAGUCCCUUGCGGAUGGAGCUGAAAUCAGUCGAAGAUACCAGCUGGCUGCAACUGUUUAUUAAAAACACAGCACUGUGCAAACACGAAAGUGGACGUAUACGGUGUGACGCCUGCCCGGUGCCGGAAGGUUAAUUGAUGGGGUCAGCGCAAGCGAAGCUCUUGAUCGAAGCCCCGGUAAACGGCGGCCGUAACUAUAACGGUCCUAAGGUAGCGAAAUUCCUUGUCGGGUAAGUUCCGACCUGCACGAAUGGCGUAAUGAUGGCCAGGCUGUCUCCACCCGAGACUCAGUGAAAUUGAACUCGCUGUGAAGAUGCAGUGUACCCGCGGCAAGACGGAAAGACCCCGUGAACCUUUACUAUAGCUUGACACUGAACAUUGAGCCUUGAUGUGUAGGAUAGGUGGGAGGCUUUGAAGUGUGGACGCCAGUCUGCAUGGAGCCGACCUUGAAAUACCACCCUUUAAUGUUUGAUGUUCUAACGUGGACCCGUGAUCCGGGUUGCGGACAGUGUCUGGUGGGUAGUUUGACUGGGGCGGUCUCCUCCUAAAGAGUAACGGAGGAGCACGAAGGUUGGCUAAUCCUGGUCGGACAUCAGGAGGUUAGUGCAAUGGCAUAAGCCAGCUUGACUGCGAGCGUGACGGCGCGAGCAGGUGCGAAAGCAGGUCAUAGUGAUCCGGUGGUUCUGAAUGGAAGGGCCAUCGCUCAACGGAUAAAAGGUACUCCGGGGAUAACAGGCUGAUACCGCCCAAGAGUUCAUAUCGACGGCGGUGUUUGGCACCUCGAUGUCGGCUCAUCACAUCCUGGGGCUGAAGUAGGUCCCAAGGGUAUGGCUGUUCGCCAUUUAAAGUGGUACGCGAGCUGGGUUUAGAACGUCGUGAGACAGUUCGGUCCCUAUCUGCCGUGGGCGCUGGAGAACUGAGGGGGGCUGCUCCUAGUACGAGAGGACCGGAGUGGACGCAUCACUGGUGUUCGGGUUGUCAUGCCAAUGGCACUGCCCGGUAGCUAAAUGCGGAAGAGAUAAGUGCUGAAAGCAUCUAAGCACGAAACUUGCCCCGAGAUGAGUUCUCCCUGACCCUUUAAGGGUCCUGAAGGAACGUUGAAGACGACGACGUUGAUAGGCCGGGUGUGUAAGCGCAGCGAUGCGUUGAGCUAACCGGUACUAAUGAACCGUGAGGCUUAACCU